rnacentral:snRNA from 1 species
GUGUUUGCUUCAUCAGCACAUACACUAAAAUUGGUACAAUACACAGAUUAGCAUGGUCCCUGUGCAAGGAUGACAUGCAAAUUUGUGAAGAGUUCUGUAUUUUU